AUGGGCAAGGCCACGAUGAACAUCAAGCGGCAGCAUUCCACUAAUGUCACGACUGCUGCCCUAGCGUCAGUGCUGAUGCUGCUCCUGGCUGCGGCCGGCAGCGUAGCCGCACAAGGAAGAGGAGGAGGCGGAGGAUAUGGUGGUGGUGGAGGGUAUGGAGGAGGAGGAUAUGGUGGUGGUGGUGGUGGCUAUGGAGGAGGAGGAGGAGGAGGCUACGGUGGUGGCGGUGGGUACGGAUACGACGGUGGAUACGGUGACUAUGGACAAGGGGGCGGGGGCGGAGGAGGCGGCAUGGGCCCUCCCGGUGGUGAGGGUCUGAGCAUGGAGUACUACUCCAUGACGUGCCCGUACGCCGCCGAGAUCGUGCGCGACGUGGUCAGCGCCGCGCUUGCCAAGGACCCCACCCUCGCCGCGUCCCUGCUCCGGCUCCACUUCCACGACUGCUUCGUCCGCGGCUGCGACGCCUCUGUGCUCCUCGACUCCACCAAAGCCCACGGCACCGCCGAGAAGGACGCGCUCACCAACAAGUCUCUCCGGGGCUUCGAGGUCAUCGACGCCAUCAAGGCCGCCCUGGAGGCGCAGUGCCCCGGCACAGUCUCCUGCGCCGACGUGCUCGCCUUCGCCGCCCGGGACUCCGUCUACAUGGCCGGCGGGCCCUACUACGACGUGCCCACAGGCCGCAGGGACGGCUCCCUCUCCCGAGCCGACGACACCUCCGCGCUCCCCGCCGCCACGCUCAAGGCGGCCGAGCUCAUCAAGGUGUUCGUCGGCGACCACGGCUUCACGGUGCCGGAGCUGGUCGCGCUCUCCGGCGGCCACACGCUGGGCCAGGCCCAUUGUGCCAACUUCAAGAACCGGCUCAGCGGCUUCGGCAAGGCCGGUAACGGGGUCGACCCCACGCUGGAGGCCGGGAUGGCGGCGUCCCUGGCCAAGACCUGCAAGGCCGCCGGCGACGGCGGCACGGCCAAGCUCGACGCCACCAGCAACGCCUUCGACGUGGAGUAUUUCAAGGGCCUGCAGACCAGGAGGGGGCUGCUGACGUCCGACCAGACGCUGCUCACCGGGUCGCCGGAGACGGCCAUGUAUGUGAACCAGUUCGCCGAGAGCCCGGACGCCUUCUUCGAGACGUUCGUGCAGGGGAUGGGGAGGAUGGGGCAGCUGGACCUCAACCCCGACGGCAACGUCAGGCUCAACUGCAGGGCCCUCAACUAG
rnacentral:rRNA from 1 species